rnacentral:lncRNA from 1 species
UACCCACAGGCACAUGACGGUCUGCACCCAGGCCAGGGCUCAGUGAGGAGCCGGAGUGUCCCGGCCUGCCUGGACUCCAGCCGGGACCUCCCACAUGAGGCUCAUUCAUCUAUGCCCAGGAUUCUCAAAGAACCCCGGCCCCAGCCUGCUCUCUGUCAUGUGCUGAGCCCCAAGCUUACCCAUGCCUCCUGCCGUGGGGACCAGAGAAUGAGAAGACCACCAGGGAGACCCGCCCUGGAGACCAUGGUGUGCUGCUGACUCACGAGAAUGACAUCACCAAGUGUGCCCUCUGUCCUGUCACUUGGAGCUCCUGGAAGCACAGAAUGUCCCUCAGCCUGGACACUGCCCCUGGCCUGGGGAGGUAGAUGCUCCCCACCUCCCCUCCUGCCCUAGUGCAGAGGAAAGAAGAUCAAAUCUGGAGUCAGCAGACAUAGGAGUCUAAUCCCUGGUUCUGAUAUAUCUAGGCAGUCAUUGCCUUAGCCACACUCAGCCUUAAUCUCCUGAUCUGCAAAAUGGGGAGAACCACACUAACUUUGCAGUUUGCGGUGAGAGUCAAGGAAACCCACGUGAGAAGUGUCUGGCACUGUGCCUCGCAUGUACUGGAUGUGCAGUCUUGAAGGAAUCCUACGCUUCAUGAAUGAGGAUUUGACAUCUGGCAGAGGUCUUUAUGAACACAUUUAUGAUCAUCCUUCAAAGCAACCACAUGAAAUGGGCCAGGGGCUUGUUCUCUUUUAGCAGACAGACGGGUUGAGUCACCACAAGAUGCUGUUAUGGUUUAAAUGUGUGGAGCUAUAUAUAUACAUACACACAUACACAUGUAUAUAUCAAUCAAGCUAUACUUAUCCCCAAUAACAGAGAGGAAAAAUAUAUUAUUAGAAUAAGAGCCGCAUAUUUUGGAAAACUUACCAUGUGCCAGAGACUGUUCUAAUUAUUUUAUAAACAUGUCUCUUGUGGUUUUCAAGAUAACUAUAGAAGGUAACUAUUAUUACUUUUUAACAAAUGAAAGCAAACCUCAGGUUAAGUGACUGGCCCAAGGUCACACAGCAAGCAGUGACAGAGCUAAGUUGCGCUGGCUCUAAAGACCAUGUGUUAUCAACAGCGUCCUCCUGCCUUCUUAUGAAAUGGAAUCCAUAUCAAACUGCUAAGCUUUGUUUUUAGCAAAUAACAUGACUGUCUGGGCUGUGGGCUUAAGGAACAGUGAGUUUGGGGGCAAAGGUCACCCUCUAAUAGUGCUUCAUAAUAUUUCUCCCAGAGAAAGACUCUGGAGCCAGGCAGAUCUGGAUCCAGAUUCCAGUUCUGCCACUUCCUAGCUGUGUCCUCUCACUGAGCUCUCAGAGGCCUCCUUGGCCCGCAUGCUCAGUGGAGUGUCUGGUUGGCCCCGCAGCCCUUGUGUCCAGAUCUGCUGGGCGACACAGUGCCUGGCUGUGCCCUGCAGAGGCUUUCCUGUCCCUGGCUCCCAUGCUUCCCCUGAGGAGAGCAGGCGAUGGGUGUCAGCUUAUGUGAGCCCUUUGGUUGCAUGGAUCGGGUGAAAAACAGACAGAGCUGAAGAAUUUGAACUGAGAUGUCAAUUGUGGAGCAGGAUUACUCAUAGCAGCCACCGCCCACUAGGCCAGAACACCUUCGUUUAAACAAACCAACAUCCCAGGGGACAGUGCCUGUUGAGCAAGCUGCUGAGAGCCCUUCACUAGUGCUGAGUCCUCAGGCCUGCAGGGGACACUCCACAUCUGACCCUGCAGGAGAGCGGUGUCCAGGAGCAGGCACCUCAGAUCCAUCCAAGUCACACAGGGAGGCCAGAAGGGCAGCGGGGACACUGAACGCUCUACACGUCCUGAGGUCCCUGACCUCAUAGGCUGGAGGGGAGCAUUUGCUUUGUCUUGUGGAAAGUCCCCAAGUGGAUGGGCUAACAAUCGAUUCCAGUUGCACCCACGCUGCUAACUCUGGCCAUGUUUCCUAUACUUCCGUUCCUGUGAUCCAUCUCUUGCCCCUUCCAGAUCAGACAGUGACCUCCCGGGCCUCCUGGGGAUGCAGUUGUCCUCCCUGCACUCAGAUCUGGAGCUGCUGCUUCCUAGCGGAGGAGUCAGCCUACCGAGCCAGGCCGUUGUCAAGCCCUGAGCCCUCCCCACUUCCGCCUCUGCCCGCUUUCCUGUCCCAGCUGUGAGCCUCUCCGGGGACUCAUUUAAACUGAAGACAAUUGCCUCAGAUAAAGAACAACUGGCCUCCUCCCUAUGUGGCUAAAAUUAUCAAAAACCGAAGAGGGCGUUGCUGACCUCAGCCUUCCCCAGCCUUUCUCCUGCCUUGGUCCACUUGAAUAUCCCUCUGGGAGCCUGUGACAGCUGCCUACGUGGGACC